GUGGCUCAGUUCAGAUCGUAGGCUGCAACUCGCCUACGUGAAGGAGGAAUCGCUAGUAAUCGCAGGUCAGCAUACUGCGGUGAAUACGUUCCCGGGCCUUGUACACACCGCCCGUCACACCAUGGAAGUUGGCCACGCCCGAAGCCGUUACUCCAACCCUUGUGGAGGAGGACGUCGAAGGUGGGGCUGAUGACUGGGGUGAAGUCGUAACAAGGUAGCCGUACCGGAAGGUGCGGCUGGAUCACCUCCUAACAGGGAGACAAACAACGAUUUUGAUGUCUGAGUAAUCAAUUCUUAGGCCAAAAUCCUGUCACCUUAGGUCGAUCGGUACCUCAGUUUUGAAGUCAAGAAUUCAUAGAAAUAUGAGUUGCUUGAUGGAGAUUUUCAGUUCCUAAACUUUGUCUAGGUCACAUCCCACAAGGGUUGAGUCUUCCUGGGCCAUUAGCUCAGGUGGUUAGAGCGCACCCCUGAUAAGGGUGAGGUCCCUGGUUCAAGUCCAGGAUGGCCCAUUCGGUGUUGGGGGUUUAGCUCAGUUGGUAGAGCGCCUGCUUUGCAAGCAGGAUGUCAGGAGUUCGAGUCUCCUAACCUCCACUGAUCGAACUCAAUCUCCAUCUUCUGAAUGAUGGAAGGUGAACUCGAAUGUGAUGUGAUUUAGAUGUGUCCGCUGGCAUGACCCCAGCUUCCUGUCAUUCCGAAAUGACGUGACUAAUCACGAUAUUUUGGUUGAUAAGAUGCUGGGC
rnacentral:misc_RNA from 1 species